rnacentral:rRNA from 1 species
AGGCUUAACACAUGCAAGUCGAGGGGCAUCAGGAAGAAAGCUUGCUUUCUUUGCUGGCGACCGGCGCACGGGUGAGUAACACGUAUCCAACCUGCCCUUUACUCGGGGAUAGCCUUUCGAAAGAAAGAUUAAUACCCGAUGGCAUAAUGAUUCCGCAUGGUUUCAUUAUUAAAGGAUUCCGGUAAAGGAUGGGGAUGCGUUCCAUUAGGUUGUUGGUGAGGUAACGGCUCACCAAGCCUUCGAUGGAUAGGGGUUCUGAGAGGAAGGUCCCCCACAUUGGAACUGAGACACGGUCCAAACUCCUACGGGAGGCAGCAGUGAGGAAUAUUGGUCAAUGGGCGCUAGCCUGAACCAGCCAAGUAGCGUGAAGGAUGAAGGCUCUAUGGGUCGUAAACUUCUUUUAUAUAAGAAUAAAGUGCAGUAUGUAUACUGUUUUGUAUGUAUUAUAUGAAUAAGGAUCGGCUAACUCCGUGCCAGCAGCCGCGGUAAUACGGAGGAUCCGAGCGUUAUCCGGAUUUAUUGGGUUUAAAGGGAGCGUAGGUGGACUGGUAAGUCAGUUGUGAAAGUUUGCGGCUCAACCGUAAAAUUGCAGUUGAUACUGUCAGUCUUGAGUACAGUAGAGGUGGGCGGAAUUCGUGGUGUAGCGGUGAAAUGCUUAGAUAUCACGAAGAACUCCGAUUGCGAAGGCAGCUCACUGGACUGCAACUGACACUGAUGCUCGAAAGUGUGGGUAUCAAACAGGAUUAGAUACCCUGGUAGUCCACACAGUAAACGAUGAAUACUCGCUGUUUGCGAUAUACAGUAAGCGGCCAAGCGAAAGCAUUAAGUAUUCCACCUGGGGAGUACGCCGGCAACGGUGAAACUCAAAGGAAUUGACGGGGGCCCGCACAAGCGGAGGAACAUGUGGUUUAAUUCGAUGAUACGCGAGGAACCUUACCCGGGCUUAAAUUGCAGUGGAAUGAUGUGGAAACAUGUCAGUGAGCAAUCACCGCUGUGAAGGUGCUGCAUGGUUGUCGUCAGCUCGUGCCGUGAGGUGUCGGCUUAAGUGCCAUAACGAGCGCAACCCUUAUCUUUAGUUACUAACAGGUUAUGCUGAGGACUCUAGAGAGACUGCCGUCGUAAGAUGUGAGGAAGGUGGGGAUGACGUCAAAUCAGCACGGCCCUUACGUCCGGGGCUACACACGUGUUACAAUGGGGGGUACAGAAGGCAGCUAGCGGGUGACCGUAUGCUAAUCCCAAAAGCCUCUCUCAGUUCGGAUCGAAGUCUGCAACCCGACUUCGUGAAGCUGGAUUCGCUAGUAAUCGCGCAUCAGCCACGGCGCGGUGAAUACGUUCCCGGGCCUUGUACACACCGCCCGUCAAGCCAUGGGAGCCGGGGGUACCUGAAGUACGUAACCGCAAGGAUCGUCCUAGGGUAAAACUGGUGACUGGGGCUAAAUC